UGGGGAAUCUUGGACAAUGGGGGCAACCCUGAUCCAGCCAUGCCGCGUGAGUGAUGAAGGCCUUAGGGUCGUAAAGCUCUUUCGCCUGUGAAGAUAAUGACGGUAGCAGGUAAAGAAACCCCGGCUAACUCCGUGCCAGCAGCCGCGGUAAUACGGAGGGGGUUAGCGUUGUUCGGAAUUACUGGGCGUAAAGCGCACGUAGGCGGACCAGAAAGUUGGGGGUGAAAUCCCGGGGGCUCAACCCCGGAACUGCCUCCAAAACUAUUGGUCUAGAGUUCGAGAGAGGUGAGUGGAAUUCCAAGUGUAGAGGUGAAAUUCGUAGAUAUUUGGAGGAACACCAGUGGCGAAGGCGGCUCACUGGCUCGAUACUGACGCUGAGGUGCGAAAGUGUGGGGAGCAAACAGGAUUAGAUACCCUGGUAGUCCACGCCGUAAAACGAUGUCUGCUAGUCGUUGGGGGCGUAGCCCUUC
rnacentral:rRNA from 1 species